AUUCCCAUUCUACUACCAUUUAUAUAUGUUACACAUUAAGUGGUUAUGCUUAUGGGAUACAGGAAAGCUUGUCAGAGUCUGAAGGGGAAGAUUGGUGAUAUCUUCUUCCUAUAUGAACUGGCAGUACAAUCUUAC